CUGAAGUGUGCGGGAAAGGCUUAAGUCACAAAUGCUGUGCCACAAGGUAUGCCUAGUCAAGAUAUACCCAGAGGGUCAACCUGAGAAAGCUACCAGGAUGUA